rnacentral:rRNA from 1 species
AACGAACGCUGGCGGCAUGCCUAACACAUGCAAGUCGAACGAAGCCUUCGGGCUUAGUGGCGCACGGGUGCGUAACGCGUGGGAAUCUGCCUUGGGUUCGGAAUAACAGUUAGAAAUGACUGCUAAUACCGGAUGAUGUCUUCGGACCAAAGAUUUAUCGCCCAAGGAUGAGCCCGCGUAGGAUUAGGUAGUUGGUGGGGUAAUGGCCCACCAAGCCGACGAUCCUUAGCUGGUCUGAGAGGAUGAUCAGCCACACUGGGACUGAGACACGGCCCAGACUCCUACGGGAGGCAGCAGUGGGGAAUAUUGGACAAUGGGCGAAAGCCUGAUCCAGCAAUGCCGCGUGAGUGAUGAAGGCCUUAGGGUUGUAAAGCUCUUUUACCAGGGAUGAUAAUGACAGUACCUGGAGAAUAAGCUCCGGCUAACUCCGUGCCAGCAGCCGCGGUAAU